rnacentral:lncRNA from 1 species
CUCUUUCUCCUCCCUGCCUAACUGGUGAGGUGGGACUUCAAUGCCUUUUAGGUUUACAGUCUUUUCCUCCCCACGGCUUCUCUUUCCUCCCCGUCUCAGGCACUGGGCAUUUCCAGUCGAUCCAGCAGGUCUGGCUUCUCUCACAUAUGCAGUAAGGGUUAGGGGAGAAGGUCCCAGCUCCUCUUGUCUCUAGCAGAGUGUAAACUGGCUCUGCUGAGGAGGUGGCUGUGCUUUUAUUCCUUCUCCUGAGAACUGUUUAUAUAUUAAGGAGCUUCACAGCCUCCAACAUAAGGAAAGCAGGCCUCAAACUUCUUCAUGGGAAAAGAUGGCUUCUCUUUUUUAAUUGAAUGAACUAGAAGAAGUUCAUUGUUAUUCAUCAACUUCAAAGAGACUAUAUGAGGCCCCUUGGCCAGGACUACAGAGCAGUAUUUUUUAAUCAGAAAUUAUAGCCAAAAAGAAGAGACCAGAACACAUGGCAGCCUGCAUGGACUAAGACAAGCUCAUUUUCUGGAAAGUCUUGAACUAAGUACUUGAAAAUACAAAGAUAAAUGAAGCACAAGUGCUGACUUCAAGGAAAUGCCAGAAUUGAAAGAAACUACUUUAAAUUUCAUAUGGAACCAAAAAAAGCCCAUAUAGCCAAGAUGAUCCUAAGCAAAAAGAGCAAAGCUGGAGGCAUCAUGCUACCUGGCUUCAAACUAUACUACAAGGCUACAGUAACAAAAACAGCAUGGCACUGGUACUAAAACAGAUAUAUAGACCAAUGGAACAGAACAGAGGCCUCAGAAAUAACGCCACACAUCUACAACCAUCUGAUCUUUGACAAACCUGACAAAAACAAGCAAUGAGGAAAGGAUUCCCUAUUUAAUAAAUGGCGUUGGGAAAACUGGCUAGCCAUAUGCAGAAAACUGAAACUGGACCCCUUCCUGAUACCUUAAACAAAAAUUAAUUCAAGGUAGAUUAAGGACUUAAACAUAAGACCUAAAACCAUAAAAACCCUAGAAGAAAAGCUAGGCAAUACCAUUCAGGACACAGGCAUGGGCAAAGACUUCAUGACUAAAACACCAAAAGCAAUGGCAACAAAAGCCAAAAUAGACAAAUG